UCCUUUUCACCUACCAAUCCAUAAAGGCAACAACCACUACACCUACACAUAAUCAAUUACUCGUGCAAAUCUUCUCUCAAAUCUCAAACCAAUUCCAUCUUCCAAACAUUCUCUCUGUUACCAAAUGGCUAAAUCAACAGACAACUCAUACAUGGAGGAGGAUGUGAUUCCAGAAUACUACUCUUACAUGGAUGAGGAUGAUGCUCCAGAGUUCUUCACAGUAUUACCCAUUGAAGAACAAUCAAAGGUGGUCUUUCCAAGAAGCUUCCAAACACAAUAUUCAGUUAAGCUUGGACCAAUUUGCACACUUGAAGACAAAUCCUACAAAAAAUUUGGGAAACAAAAGUCUAAACACUUUCAGAUGGAAGAAUAUGCUUGGACGAUGGUUGGGAGCAAUUCCACAAGGAUCGGAACUUGAGAGUUGGAGACUUCUUGACUUUCGAUAUGAUUUCACCCAAUCAUUUCUUUGUGAAAAUGUAUGAUGCUACGGAUGUGCUAAGGAAAUCCAACAACAACCGGGUUCAUUUGGCCAAGAAACCGACGACGCAUCCUCUUCACAACCUAUUGCUUCACCUUCUUUCAAAUCAACCAUGACAAUAUCAAACCAAAAAAGUCUUGUAAGAAUUUAUACUUUUACUUCAUAUAUAUAUAUAUAUAUUUGAUAAUGAUUGUGUUAAUUUAUUAUAAAAUUGAUAAAUUAAUGUAAUCAACAUUACAACACAUACCAAUCCAUUUUGGAGGACACAUGUGAUAGACAAAGUUAUUGAAGUGGCAAUUUUGGAAUUCCAAGAGAAAACAUGGCAAACAAUGUUGAAGAAGGCUGAAGAUUGGGUGACAAUCUCCACAGGAAGCUCAGGUUUCUACAAAGAAUGCUCUUUGUGUGAAGGAAUGCAAUUGAAGUUUGAGUUGAUAAGCAACACCCCUACCAUCAAAUUCAAAGUUACUGUGACCGAGUAAUGACAACUGACGACAUGGAAUGGUUUGAAAAAUACCCUAACCAGGUAAGUUAAUUUGAAAAAUUCAAUUUUGAGAAACAAACAAUAUAUAUUUAAUCGACUGUUUUUUAGUACUCUAUUAGUAGUAGGCAAUAUUUUGCAUAUACUCAUGAAUUAGUAUCUAUUUUGUCGUAUAUUAUAUUGAGACUUUGAUACUAUAUUAAAAAUUGCCAAGUAUUAUCAGUUAAGUAAUACAGAAUAUGUCAAAUAUAUUAAUAUAACAUUAUAACUUUAUUAAUGAUAAUAUAAUAACCAUUUUGUAUGUACUCAGAUUUUACUAUAUUAAUAAUUAAAGCAAAAGAAAUUAACAACUUUAAGAAUCUUUGCAAGAGUCAAAUAAAACGAUAUUAUAUAUAAUGCAAUUAUAUUUAUAGAUAACAUAUUAUUUAUUAAAAAUAUAAUGUCUAACAUCAAUAUAUCAUGGAAUCUGUUAUAAAUUUGUUAUACAAAUAAACAUACUAAAUGAAUUACCAAGUCAAAACCUACUUAAAAAACAACAAUAAUUCAGCACAUCUACAAAAUCCAAAAGCAUACAACUAAACAUAUAAUCAUAGUUAUUAAUUAGUUAAGCACUAAUGCCCCCUGGGCACAAACAUCUUAUAAUUAUGACAAAUAAAAAAUUACACAAAAAAGUAAAAUAGUGUAUCAUGGAAGUUUCAAAAUCUCAUGGUUCAAUAGCAACGUUGAAAGUGAUGUAUGCAUCUAGUAAGAGCAUGAAAGUAAGAGCAUAAAAAAAAAAAAAAUAAUUAAGUAUGCUCCCAAUUUCCAAACCAUUUUCAUCAAAGAAAAUCCUCCACUCGGUAUGCAAAAUUAUUGCAUUAGACCAUCCACAACGCGUCCCGCGCCGGGCUCGCGUCUCGUCUCGGAGAGAUGGGUCCCCCGCGGGACGUAUUGCAGCGUACAUCCCGUCCCUAGCCCGCGCCCGUCUCGUCCCGUAGCCCGUCUCGGCGAGACACGGGACGAGAUGUCCCGCCACGCGCCAGGGACACGUGGC